AAAUGACAACAGCAGUAGUUAUGGAGAGCACUGACAGAUAUAAGCGGUAUUUGUCAGUUUUUGGAUAUAGAUUGGUGAUAUUUUUGUGAUAAUCCUUAAGACCAAAUGGAUUAAUUAGAAUAAAUGAUGCCCUGAUGAAGGACACUUUGAGUGUUCGAAACGUUGGCGACAAAUGAAAUUAGUUUUUCUAUGAUUUCUUCGUAAAAUUAUUAUAAUUGCUGCUUGAUUGACCGUAAUUGGCUGAGUGGUAGGAGAUUUAAUUAUGAUUCGAAACGGUUGGACUAUUACUUCUAGUUUAAUAAAUUUUCUGGUAUUUAAUUAUUAA